rnacentral:rRNA from 1 species
UUUGGUGAUUCUAGCGUGGCGGAACCACCCGUAACCAUCCCGAACACGGUAGUGAAACGUCUCAGCACCUACGAUACUGCGCUCGCAAGGGCGUGGGAAAAUGGGUCAUUGCCANGG